rnacentral:rRNA from 1 species
UGUGCCAGCCGCCGCGGUAAUACGUAGGGUCCGAGCGUUGUCCGGAAUUACUGGGCGUAAAGAGCUCGUAGGUGGUUUGUCGCGUUGUUCGUGAAAUCUCACGGCUUAACUGUGAGCGUGCGGGCGAUACGGGCAGACUAGAGUACUGCAGGGGAGACUGGAAUUCCUGGUGUAGCGGUGGAAUGCGCAGAUAUCAGGAGGAACACCGGUGGCGAAGGCGGGUCUCUGGGCAGUAACUGACGCUGAGGAGCGAAAGCGUGGGGAGCGAACAGGAUUAGAUACCCUGGUAGUCCACGCCGUAAAMMGGUGGGUACUAGGUGUGGGUUUCCUUCCUUGGGAUCCGUGCCGUASSUAACGCAUUAAGUACCCCGCCUGGGGAGUACGCCGCAAGCUAAACUCAAAGAAUUGCGAAUCCCGC